AACAACUUUCCUUCUCUCCUUAGGACAGCAAGAGGCCAAUUUCAAAGGUUCCCAGCUCUUUGGCUCUGCAUCCCACUUGUGCCAGCUUUUUCUUUCAUUUUCCCUAAGAUCCCACCUGUGGCAACACAUACAGCUCAUGGAGUACAAAUUAUGUGUAGUAGGCGUUCAUGUGGAAAAUCUGUAUGGCCAAAGCAUUCUGGCAAACCACAGUUCCUGCUGGGUGAGUUAAGAGUCUGUCUUUAAGGAAUGAGGGAUUCAAAACUCCCCAUGCAGGUGAGUGUAAAUCUCUUCCUCCUUUCAUGGUUUUAGCUUUGCUGGUGGUUUGAAUUCCCAAUUACAGGCAUUCAUUGGAAUGAAAUGAGAGUCUCAAGGUGCUGCUGCACGGUU
rnacentral:lncRNA from 1 species